UUAAGCGACUAAGCGUACACGGUGGAUGCCCUGGCAGUCAGAGGCGAUGAAGGACGUGCUAAUCUGCGAAAAGCGUCGGUAAGGUGAUAUGAACCGUUAUAGCCGGCGAUGUCCGAAUGGGGAAACCCAGUGUGAUUCGUCACACUAUCGUUAACUGAAUACAUAGGUUAACGAGGCGAACCGGGGGAACUGAAACAUCUAAGUACCCCGAGGAAAAGAAAUCAACCGAGAUUCCCCCAGUAGCGGCGAGCGAACGGGGAGCAGCCCAGAGUCUGAAUCAGCUUGUGUGUUAGUGGAACGGUCUGGAAAGUCCGACGGUACAGGGUGAUAGUCCCGUACACCAAAAUGCACAGGCUGUGAACUCGAAGAGUAGGGCGGGACACGUGGUAUCCUGUCUGAAUAUGGGGGGACCAUCCUCCAAGGCUAAAUACUCCUGACUGACCGAUAGUGAACCAGUACCGUGAGGGAAAGGCGAAAAGAACCCCGGCGAGGGGAGUGAAAAAGAACCUGAAACCGUGUACGUACAAGCAGUGGGAGCACCUUUAUGGUGUGACUGCGUACCUUUUGUAUAAUGGGUCAGCGACUUAUAUUCUGUAGCAAGGUUAACCGUAUAGGGGAGCCGCAGGGAAACCGAGUCUUAACUGGGCGUUAAGUUGCAGGGUAUAGACCCGAAACCCGGUGAUCUAGCCAUGGGCAGGUUGAAGGUUGGGUAACACUAACUGGAGGACCGAACCGACUAAUGUUGAAAAAUUAGCGGAUGACUUGUGGCUGGGGGUGAAAGGCCAAUCAAACCGGGAGAUAGCUGGUUCUCCCCGAAAGCUAUUUAGGUAGCGCCUCGUGAAUUCAUCUUCGGGGGUAGAGCACUGUUUCGGCUAGGGGGUCAUCCCGACUUACCAACCCGAUGCAAACUACGAAUACCGAAGAAUGUUAUCACGGGAGACACACGGCGGGUGCUAACGUCCGUCGUGAAGAGGGAAACAACCCAGACCGCCAGCUAAGGUCCCAAAGUCAUGGUUAAGUGGGAAACGAUGUGGGAAGGCACAGACAGCCAGGAUGUUGGCUUAGAAGCAGCCAUCAUUUAAAGAAAGCGUAAUAGCUCACUGGUCGAGUCGGCCUGCGCGGAAGAUGUAACGGGGCUAAACCAUGCACCGAAGCUGCGGCAGCGACACGAUGUGUUGUUGGGUAGGGGAGCGUUCUGUAAGCCUGCGAAGGUGACCUGUGAGGGUUGCUGGAGGUAUCAGAAGUGCGAAUGCUGACAUAAGUAACGAUAAAGCGGGUGAAAAGCCCGCUCGCCGGAAGACCAAGGGUUCCUGUCCAACGUUAAUCGGGGCAGGGUGAGUCGACCCCUAAGGCGAGGCCGAAAGGCGUAGUCGAUGGGAAACAGGUUAAUAUUCCUGUACUUGGUGUUACUGCGAAGGGGGGACGGAGAAGGCUAUGUUAGCCGGGCGACGGUUGUCCCGGUUUAAGCAUGUAGGCUGGUUAUCCAGGCAAAUCCGGAUAAUCAAGGCUGAGGUGUGAUGACGAAGCACUACGGUGCUGAAGUAACAAAUGCCCUGCUUCCAGGAAAAGCCUCUAAGCAUCAGGUAACAUCAAAUCGUACCCCAAACCGACACAGGUGGUCAGGUAGAGAAUACCAAGGCGCUUGAGAGAACUCGGGUGAAGGAACUAGGCAAAAUGGUGCCGUAACUUCGGGAGAAGGCACGCUGGUGUGUAGGUGAAGCCCCUGCGGGUGGAGCUGAGACCAGUCGAAGAUACCAGCUGGCUGCAACUGUUUAUUAAAAACACAGCACUGUGCAAACACGAAAGUGGACGUAUACGGUGUGACGCCUGCCCGGUGCCGGAAGGUUAAUUGAUGGGGUUAUCCGUAAGGAGAAGCUCUUGAUCGAAGCCCCGGUAAACGGCGGCCGUAACUAUAACGGUCCUAAGGUAGCGAAAUUCCUUGUCGGGUAAGUUCCGACCUGCACGAAUGGCGUAAUGAUGGCCAGGCUGUCUCCACCCGAGACUCAGUGAAAUUGAACUCGCUGUGAAGAUGCAGUGUACCCGCGGCAAGACGGAAAGACCCCGUGAACCUUUACUAUAGCUUGACACUGAACAUUGAGCCUUGAUGUGUAGGAUAGGUGGGAGGCUUUGAAGCGUGGACGCCAGUCUGCGUGGAGCCAACCUUGAAAUACCACCCUUUAAUGUUUGAUGUUCUAACGUUGGCCCCUUAUCGGGGUUGCGGACAGUGUCUGGUGGGUAGUUUGACUGGGGCGGUCUCCUCCCAAAGCGUAACGGAGGAGCACGAAGGUUAGCUAAUCCUGGUCGGACAUCAGGAGGUUAGUGCAAUGGCAUAAGCUAGCUUGACUGCGAGCGUGACGGCGCGAGCAGGUGCGAAAGCAGGUCAUAGUGAUCCGGUGGUUCUGAAUGGAAGGGCCAUCGCUCAACGGAUAAAAGGUACUCCGGGGAUAACAGGCUGAUACCGCCCAAGAGUUCAUAUCGACGGCGGUGUUUGGCACCUCGAUGUCGGCUCAUCACAUCCUGGGGCUGAAGUAGGUCCCAAGGGUAUGGCUGUUCGCCAUUUAAAGUGGUACGCGAGCUGGGUUUAGAACGUCGUGAGACAGUUCGGUCCCUAUCUGCCGUGGGCGCUGGAGAAUUGAGGGGGGCUGCUCCUAGUACGAGAGGACCGGAGUGGACGCAUCACUGGUGUUCGGGUUGUCAUGCCAAUGGCACUGCCCGGUAGCUAAAUGCGGAAGAGAUAAGUGCUGAAAGCAUCUAAGCACGAAACUUGCCCCGAGAUGAGUUCUCCCUGAGACUUUAAGUCUCCUGAAGGAACGUUAAAGACGAUGACGUUGAUAGGCCGGGUGUGUAAGCGCAGCGAUGCGUUGAGCUAACCGGUACUAAUGAACCGUGAGGCUUAACCU
rnacentral:rRNA from 1 species